UUACGGGGGAAGUAAUUAAAAGGGAAUCAGGUGUAAAUCCUGAACAGUCCCGCUGCUGUAAGUUCCAUGCAUGUUACAAGCAAUUCACUCAUUGCCACUGGAGAAUAAUCUGGGAAGGCGUUUGUAACAGGAAUAAGUCAGAAGACCUACCAUGCAAUUAU
rnacentral:ncRNA from 1 species